AUGCUUUAAAGCUGCAAUGAAGCUUGUUUCUGGGUCAUCCCCUAGUGGUCACUUUGUCUGCCGUGCCGUGCAUGGCACGGCGAUCCGUAAGAGGAACCUCCUUGUCAAAAUGACACAUUUGUGCGAAUUCUAUUCAUAGGCAUAAGUUCAGCAUUAAGUUCAAUCAUUACUCAACAUCUGACUGAAAAGCUGUGCCUGAACAAUUUCCUCUGCUGUUGGAUUUUAGAUUUCCUUAUUGGAAGACCUCAGUCAGUCCAAAUCAAAAAGCACCAUCACUAAACUACACCACAGUGAGCAUUGAGACCCCUCAGGGCUGUACACUCAGGUCACAUCUGUUCACUCUGCUCACUCAUAACUGUGCAGUUAUACACAGCUCAAACAACAUCAUCAAGCUCACCAAUGACACGACAGUGCUUGGUCUCAUCAGCAAGAACAAACUGUCAGCAUACAGAGAAGAGAGAAAACAGCUAAUAGCCUCAAAUAGAGCCAUCUGUCUCUGAUCAUGGGCAAAACAAAAAACGAUGAUUGUUGACUUCAGGAAGGCAGAGUGGCCAUGCUCUGAUGAAGAUUUACUUGAAGAUCCUCCAUGAAGAUCAUCAAGGGCAUUAAAUUCCUUGAUGUUCACCUAGCAGAGAAUCCCAUCUGAUUCUUCAACAUUAGCUCCACCAAGAACAAAGCUCUGCAGCAUUUCUACAUUUUGUAAAUUCUGAGGAAAGCCCAUCUCCCACCCCUAUCAUUAUCCUGUUUUACUGGCUGACUAAUGUGAGUUUACUGAGCAGCUGCAUCACUGCGUGUUCUGCAAAGUCCCUGCAGUAGAUAGUGAGGGCAGCUGAGAAGAUCAUCAGCAGUCUCAUUUACACCACAUGCUGCAUCUGCAAGGCCAACAGCAUUGUGGAGGACCCCACACACACCUCACACACACUCUACACACUCCUGUUGUCUGUAAAAAGGUACCGAAGCGUUCAGGUCUUCACAACCAGACUAUGUAACAGUUUCUUCCCUUUACACCUUUACACUCAGUCUACAAUCGUUGCAAAUUAAAUUGUGUAAAGCGUGAGCUCAUUGUAAAUGCUUCACACUCCGGUCCAGUUGGUGGUUUUAAAUGCACCAUCUAAGCUGGUCUUCCAACCACCAUAAAACAUUUAAAGAAGAAGAAAAAGUUGUGCAUGGGAUUGUUACACCGCAGAAAUGGCGAGUGGCCUAUUUACAUACUUUUAGAUGUGCAAUGUGGUCUGGUCUUUUUUUUUUUUUAGCAGAGUACUGCUCACACAUGCUACUGUACAUGUAUACCAGCCAUUUUACCUUCAGUAAUCACACCAAAACUGCUAGCUGCAGCUAGUUUGCCUAUCAGUAUUUGUGAAUUGUUAGGCCUGUUAUGUCAGAUCAUUACAACAUCACUAACUUUAUAUUUCAAUAUAUAAUUUUUUUUUAUUUAUAGUUAUAUUUCAAUAAUUAACAAGCGCUGUAAAACAACAGUAAGCAAGAAUGCUGCACUGGUGGAAUAGCGUAAACUAUCAUUGCUCUUUGGAUAAAAAGAUGAAGUACGCCUACUCUUAGACACUCAUAUUAAAGAUAAAAAGCCUUAUUUCACCACGCUAUAUGACUAGUUUUUUUAACAACAACUUCUAUCUGUGGAACUGGAGCUGUUUUAUGUUAAAAGCUUCAACGUCACUUCCCAUUUACCAAAACUCAAAGUGACUGACAUUCAUCCUCUUAUUAACAUAACAAGCAACUUUACCCAGACAUCAGAGGCAACACUACAUCAUUAAGAAUGUAAAGUGUAGAUCUACAAAAGUGUAGUUUAAAGUACUUUAUGAUACACACUUUCUUUAGGAUACACAACAAUUGUCCAAAGAAGACUUCUUAAUCAAUUAUCAAAUACAGUAAUCAGUGAGAGUGGCUAAGGUUGUCCUCUCAAACAAAAAUAAUUUGUAAAAGGUGUAUUUGUUUCAUAUAAUGUUUUACUAAUACAGAAGUUCUUUUUGGCCUGUUAGGAUUUGGAAACAAAAAUUAAGGCAUUGAAAAGACAGCAACAAAAAGAAAAGAAAAUCAAAAAAGAUCAUUUAGGCUCUACAGAAAAAAAAUUAAAACACUUCUGAUAGUGAACACUCCUCCAGAGAACUUGAAUCAGACUACUCAUCAGACGACUCAGGAAAUAUGCUGAAUGUUGUGGAGCAGCAUCUAAAUGAAGACUUGCAAGAACAGUAUGAUUCAGAAUCACAACAGAAUACCAUAAUUAAUAUGCAAGAUCAAGUGCUAUGGUAUGAAAUUGAUAGACUAAAUGAUUCCAUGGAUGUUACCAGUGAAAGUAACUCAGAGCUAGCUUUGUCUCUGGAGAAAAAGCUGUCUGAGUGGGCAAUGAAGUUCAACAUCUCCAUGACCUCUCUCACUCAUUUGCUUAAGAUUUUGAAGGAACAUGACAUUGAUGUUCCAGCAGACGGACGAACACUAUUGAAAACACCUCGUUCUGGCAGUUUGAGAAUAACAGAAAAAUCAGGUACAUUUUAACUUUGAAAAUGUCCAUGCACUCAUUUGGCAAUAUUAUUCAGAAAUUUCAGUGAACUGUAAAAUCUUGUUUUUGAUAGGUGGCAAAUACACAUAUUUUGGAUUAAAGGAAGGUCUUUUACGCAUACUCUGUCGGAGCAAGACACUUCAAAAUAAGACCACUUUGAGAUUUCUUUGAAUAUUGAUGGCCUUUAUUGAUGAAUAUUUCCAGUCCAAAAACCUCACAAUGUGGCCACUUCAGUGGAGGAGCUGCAAGAACUGAUGGAAACAGGCUUUAAAGGGAAGAGAAUUGUCCUCAAAAACAUCAUAUGUGAUGCACCAGCACGAGCCCUCAUCAAAGGAAUAGUUCAGUUUAAUGGCCGCUAUGGCUGUGACUUUUGUGAUGUAAAGGGAGUUCAUGAGAGCAAAAUGCUUUUUUUUGUAUAAAGGAAAUCUCAGAACCAAUGAGUCAUUUAGACAGAAGACAAAUCCUGAACAUCACAAAACAGAUAGCAUUCUUUUGAAUCGGCACAUUGAUAUGAUCAGGCAGUUCCCAAUAGAUCCCAUGCAUUGUGUAGAUCGAGGAGUGACUAAGCGAAUGUUGAUGCUGUGGAAAGAAGGACCUUUGGCCCAUAGAUUAUCAGCUGGACAUCUUAGCACCAUUACUUAUUUUCAUCAAGCUGUCUGACAUCACAUACCUCCUGAAUUCAAUAGGAAACCCAGGGGGUUAGAUGAACUGAAGCACUGGAAAGCAACUGAAUUCCGAACAUUUUUGCUUUAUACUGGACCAGUGAUUUUGAAAUAUGUUCUCGAUAAGGAGAAGUAUAUUCACUUCCUUUCACUUAGUAUUGGAAUGCGCAUCUUGUACAGUGAAAACCUAAUGGAGCAUCGUGAUUAUGCAGAUGAGCUGUUAACAUAUUUUGUUGAAAAAGGUAGCAGCCUGUAUAGCAUGAGUUUCAUCUCAUAUAAUGUGCAUUGCUUGCUACAUCUCACUGAUGUUGCAAAUUACAACAGAUCAUUACACUAUUGUUCAGCGUACAAGUUUGAGAACAAUAUGGGUCAAAUCAAGAGGUUUAUCCGCGGUUCAAGUGAUCCACUGAUUCAAGUAGCUAACAGAUUGGCAGAGAGGCAAGCAAUAUCAAGUUCUAAGAAAUCAAAUGUUACCUCUGGUACGCCAAAGACAAAAGAAUGUUACAGAAUGACCAAUGAUAGCUACUGCCUUAUACAUGGAGUUCAAGAAAAUCUGAUUUUUUUGUGAGGUUUUUUGCAGAAUGGAACCUUUGUACACUAAGCCAUGUGACUCCAGAAUAAUUGGCAUAUUCAAAGGAUUUCGGAAUCACACUAAAAUGUUACAUACUGACACCACUCAACUGAGACAUAAAGCAAUCAUGAUACCUUUGUCCUUGAUUGAUAAAGAUGAAUACAAUGCGGUAGCGCCUAUACCGCUCAUGCAUUCAGUUUGAUUAGUUAGUCAAGUAAGUCAGUAAGGCAGGGUUUUUGCCUUUUUUAUUGCAUGUUAUCCUGAUUUUGAUCCAAAGACUAUGAAUAAUGUGUGUGUGUGUGUGUGUGUGUGCGUGUGCGUGUGUUUUUUUUUUUUUUUUUUUCAUUGUACCAAAUGUCCCCACAAUUAAAGUGAACCACCUACAUGUGCAUUGUGGAUAAAACGAUCAGGGAAAAAACGGUUUAAUUGAUGUAGAAAAAUAAAUAGAGAAACAAUAUAACUGAUUUAGAUAAAUGCAAUUUCACUGACCUUAUGUAUGUAAUUUUGAUAACAGGGAAGGAACCAAAGGAAACAAAAUGCAAAGUCACCAUGGAGAAAUUGUUUGAUCUGAAUACUAAGAUACUCCAACAAAUUCAAAUGCUGGAACAGAGACAAGCUGUCAUCAUGAAUGACUUGGCAAAAGUUAAGUCUGUUCUCAUGAAGCGGGCAGAAGAAGAUGCCCAUGAGGAACUUUUUAAACAACAACAGUGCUCCAGCUUUGAAACGUUUGAAGCCUUCUUAUCGAGAGCUUUAUGUACACUAUCUCAUCCAUACUCACGGCAGCUCCAGUAUAGGUGAGAUGGUGAGACAGGCUUUAAAAAGCAUAGCGUCAGACAAUGUUCUCUGUCUGUAUAACAGAACGGGGAAAGAUGGGAAGAAGGUGUUGCCACCUGUGCUCCUGACAUGUUUGAAAAAAUGUGUCAGGUCUUUUCACAAACAAAAUGAAAUAGAGGUGAAGAAGCUAAAAGUAACCACCAGAACAACACCAGACGCGGAAUGUAUUCGCCAAGUAGAAAUUUUUUUGUCCAACGCCAACACCAGGCUGAAAAGGAAACCAAAUAAAGGAAAAAGCUGA